UGAAGUAGGGAGCCAGUGCCAGGGCACCUGAGCUGGCUGCCACAGGGGACCUGGGCUCUUGUUCACAUUCUAUGCCUGUGCUAUAUUCAUGUCCUGAGCGGGAACAUUAAACACAAUGCUGCACAUGAUUUUGUUCAGGAGGGCUGCAGAUGGCUGCGAUGGGGGAAAGUCAGUGGCAAGUACUGACAUAUGCACUGUGGCAAGUACUCAAAAAUGAACUCCUCAUUCCCUUCAGCCUGAGGAAUGCUGAAUUCUGAUACCAUUUGGGGGGAAAUGAAGAUCAAUAAUAGCUAGCAGAUUUA